AUCCUUUUGUAGUUCAUAAGCAUGAUGAUUGGGUAUUCACACACAUGUGUGAGAUGUAUCCCCCUCAAACCUUGUGAAAACAUUGGCACAUUACCGUCUGACA